AUGCUGUUAAACCUGACUUUAUGGAAAGGUUGUAUUUAUUAGAUAUUAAACCAGCAGCUUCGGCUUCUGUGAUGAUUCAUAAUAACUGAUCGGAGAUAAGCCAGUCUUAUCUAAAUCAAUCAAGUUUCUGCCCUAUCACUUUGUUGGUAGUGUAUUGGACUACCAAGAGGAUCACGGGUACGAGGAAUUAGGGUUUGAUAUCGGAGAGGCAGCCUGAGAAACGGCUACCACUUCUAAGGAAGGCAGCAGGAGCGUAAAUUACCCAAUCUCAAUUCGAGGAGGUAGUGACAAGAAAUAAUAACUCGGGCGGUAUCUACCGUUACGAGAUUAAAAUGAGGACAAUUUAAAAAACUUAUCGAGGAACAAUGAGAGGACAAGUCUGGUGCCAGCACCCGCGGUAAUUCCAGCUCUUAUAGUGUAUAUUUAAGUUGUUGCAGUUAAAAAGUUCGUAGUCGAUCAUCUAGUGCCCGGCGCUAUGGUUAACUCCUUGGCGUUCGAGUGCUAUCUGUUCGAGAACUUCAUCUGCCUUAACCGGCCGGUGAUGCUGAUCGGACUCUUUCCUGAGAAAAAAUUAGAGUGUUCAAAGCAGGCUAUUGCCGUGAAUAUCACAGCUUGGAAUAAUAGAAUAAGACUGAAGUCUCUUUUGUUGGUUAUGAACUUUAGUAAUGGUUAAUAGAAACAGUCGGGGGUAUUAGUAUUUAAUUGUCAGAGGUGAAAUUCUAUGAUUUAUUAAAGACUAACUUAUGCGAAAGCAUUUGCCAAGGAUGUUUUCAAUUGAUCAAGAACGAAAGUUAGGGGAUCGAAGACGAUCAGAUACCGUCCUAGUCUUAACUAUAAACGAUUCCGACCAUGGAUCGGAAAGGUCUUUCAAGCCUUUUCGGCACAUUAUGAGAAAUCAAAGUCUUUGGGUUCCGGGGGAAGUAUGGACACAAGUCUGAAACUUAAAGGAAUUGACGGAAGGGUACACCAGAUGUGGAUUUUGCGGCUUAAUUUGACCCAACACGGGGAAACUUACUAGGGCAAGACUAAGGUUGGAUUGACAGUAUGAGAGCACUUUCUUGAUUCUUAGGGUGGUGGUGCAUGGCCGUUCUUAGUUGGUGGAGUGAUUUGUCUGGUUAAUUCCGUUAACGAACGAGACCUUAACCUGCUAAACUAGGAGUAGGAUGAUCAAUCUUAUUUCCUUCUUAGAGGGAC
rnacentral:rRNA from 1 species